GCGCGGCCUCCGCCGAAUCCGGCCCGCCCCCGCGGGCAGCCGGAACCGGGGACCCAACCGAGACCUGGGGUGAAUCGGCCCACCGCCCCGCGCGCACGGGCCGUAGGGCAGUCCUUCCGGAACCAUCCGCCCGAAUCCGACAGCUAACCCGGUAGGCGGCGUACGGAAGGAGUC
rnacentral:sRNA from 2 species